rnacentral:rRNA from 1 species
UACGGAGGGGGCGAGCGUUAUUCGGAAUUAUUGGGCGUAAAGGGCGCGUAGGCGGCUGUACAAGUCAAAGGUGAAAUCCCUCGGCUCAACUGAGGAACUGCCUUUGAAACUGUACGGCUUGAGGCCGGGAGGGGGUAGCGGAAUUCCCAGUGUAGCGGUGAAAUGCGUAGAUAUUGGGAAGAACACCUGAGGCGAAGGCGGGUUGCUGGGCUGACACUGACGCUGAGGCGCGAAAGCCAGGGGAGCAAACGGG